GAUGAACGCUGGCGGCGUGCCUAACACAUGCAAGUCGAGCGAUUCUCUUCGGAGAAGAGCGGCGGACGGGUGAGUAACGCGUGGGUAACCUGCCCUGUACACACGGAUAAACAUACCGAAAAGGUAUGCUAAUACGAGAUAAAUAUGCUUUUUAUCGCAUGAUAGAAGUAUCAAAAGCUUUUGCGGUACAGGAUGGACCCGCGUCUGAUUAGCUAGUUGGUAAGGUAACGGCUUACCAAAGGCGACGAUCAGUAGCCGACCUGAGAGGGUGAUCGGCCACAUUGGAACUGAGACACGGUCCAAACUCCUAACGGGAGGCAGCAGUGGGGAAUAUUGCACAAAUGGGCGAAAAGCCUGAUGCAGC
rnacentral:rRNA from 1 species